rnacentral:rRNA from 1 species
AGGGCGUAUGGGGAAUGCCUAGGCUCUUGGAGGCGAAGAAAGACGUGGUAAGCUGCGAAAAGCUCCGGGGAUUUGCAAACAAGAUUUGAUCCGGAGAUUUCUGAAUGGGACAACCCGUCAGGUAGAAGACCUGACACAUCGCAAGAUGGGCCAACCCUCUGAACUGAAACAUCUUAGUAGGAGGAGGAAAAGAAAGAAACAUCGAUUUCCUGAGUAGCGGCGAGCGAAAGGGAAAAAGCCUAAACCGGUAUUGUUACGGCAAUGCCGGGGUUGUAGGACUGCAACAUUCAAGUAACAAUGAACUGGAACGAUCUGGAAAGUUCGUCCAUAGAGGGUGAAAGGCCCGUACAGGUAAGUUCGUUAUGCGAUAGCAGUAUCCUGAGUAGGGCGGGACACGAGGAAUCCUGUCUGAAUCUGCCGGGACCACCCGGUAAGGCUAAAUACUCCCAAGAGACCGAUAGUGAACCAGUACCGUGAGGGAAAGGUGAAAAGAACCCCGAACAGGGGAGUGAAAUAGAACCUGAAACCAUACGCUUACAACCGGUCGGAGCAGCUUCGUGCUGUGACGGCGUGCCUAUUGAAUAAUGAGCCUACGAGUUACUAAUCACUAGCGAGGUUAAGUGCAAGGAUGCACGGAGCCGAAGCGAAAGCGAGUCUGAACAGGGCGUUUAGUUAGUGGUUGUAGACGCGAAACCUUGCGAUCUACCCUUGAGCAGGUUGAAGGUUGGGUAAAACCAACUGGAGGACCGAACGAAUAAGCGUUGAAAAGCUUCUCGAUGACUUGAGGGUAGGGGUGAAAGGCUAAUCAAGCUGGGAAAUAGCUCGUACUCCCCGAAAUGCCUUUUGGGGCAGCGUUGUAAUAAAGAGUCUACUGGAGGUAGAGCUACUGAUUGGAUGCGGGGGCUUCACCGCCUACCAAAUCCUGACAAACUCCGAAUGCCAGUAGUAUGAUUUACAGCAGUGAGUGACUGGGUGCUAAUGUCCAGUCGCAAAAGAGGAACAACUCAGACCAGCAACUAAGGUCCCGAAGAAUAUGCUAAGUUGAUCUAACGAUGUUUUGUUGCAGAGACAGCUAGGAUGUUAGCUUGGAAGCAGCUAUUCAUUCAAAGAGUGCGUAACAGCUCACUAGUCGAGCGACAGAGCGUGGAUAAUAAACGGGCAUCAAGCAUAUCACCGAAGUUCUGGGCGCGAGAGCGCGGUAGGGGAGCAUUCCAUUCAGCGUCGAAGCAGUUUCGUGAGGAAUUGUGGAGCGUAUGGAAAAGCAAAUGUAGGCAUGAGUAACGAUAAUGCGGGAGAGUAACCCGCACACCGCAAGACCAAGGUUUCCUGAUCAACGCUAAUCGGAUCAGGGUUAGUCGGGUCCUAAGGGUAAGCCGAACGGCGAUCUCGAUGGAUAAUCGGUUAAUAUUCCGAUACUAACAUAUACCUCGAUGGAGAGACGAAGGAACGUAAGUGCCGCCACCUGACGGAAUAGGUGGUUAAAGGGCGUAGGUAUAGGGGCAGAUUAAGAGUUAGUCCUUGCUGAAACCUGACAGUACAGAGAGCCUACGGGCAAUUUGAUAGAGCACCCAAGUCGACUUCCGAGAAAAUCUUCUAAGUUAUAGUAUAUGUUACCCGUACCGUAAACCGACACAGGUGGUCGAGGAGAGUAUCCUAAGGUGCUCGAGUGAAUCACGGUUAAGGAACUAGGCAAAUUAACCCCGUAACUUCGGGAAAAGGGGUCCCUAUGAAAGUAGGGCGCAGCGAAGAGGUCCAGGCGACUGUUUAUCAAAAACACAGGGCUCUGCAAAUUCGAAAGAAGACGUAUAGGGCCUGACACCUGCCCGGUGCUGGAAGGUUAAGAGGGGAUGUCAUCGCAAGAGAAGCAUUGAAUCGAAGCCCCAGUAAACGGCGGCCGUAACUAUAACGGUCCUAAGGUAGCGAAAUUCCUUGUCGGGUAAGUUCCGACCUGCACGAAUGGUGUAACGAUCUGGACACUGUCUCAACCGUGAGCUCGGUGAAAUUGUAGUCCCGGUGAUGAUGCCGGGUACCCGCAACGGGACGAAAAGACCCCGUGAACCUUUACUAUAGCUUAACGCUGAAUUUGGGUACACAAUGUGUAGGAUAGGCCGGAGGCUUUGAAGCGGGCACGCCAGUGUUCGUGGAGCCGACGUUGAAAUACGGCCCUUUGUGUAUUUGAGUUCUAACCCUGCGAAGGGGACACCGUUUGGUGGGUAGUUUGACUGGGGUGGUCGCCUCCAAAAGCGUAACGGAGGCUU